GAAGCCUAAUUUCCUAGACCUAGACAUAUACACUCAAAAAAAAUCAGCCGCAAUUGAGGACUCUAGAUCUGAAUUCCAGCUUCUUCUCCAAGGGAUUUAAGAUCUAACGCCAAAAAACCCUUACACUCAAAAAAGGACAAUCAGCCAUUUUCCAUCCAGGAUUGAGAACCAAAAACCUAGAGGACCCUUCUCCUUCAUCUUCCAUAUACCAAAACCCCUAGAGACAAAAACCCUUACCCCCUGCACAAAACAAUCUCACCACUCCAUCUUCAUCUUCUUGACGCCAUCGCCGACCAGACCUCACCACCCAACGACCACUCCCUGAACUAGUAGCCAUGGCUCCUCUUACCCAGACAUGAAGCCCAGCCGUUACCCCCACCAAAACCAGCGACUCCUCAUUCCUUCACCAAGCAAACAACUACCAAACCCGCCGGAAAAUGACCCCCUAACACCAUAGAACGUCGCUCCCUCACCCAUCUUCCUCUCUGCCAUAGACGAGAAACACACACACACACACACACACACACAUACAACGAUAACACAACAUCUCUCGGCAAAGCUCCAAAAUCAGUUGCUCCUUUCUCCAUAGAUUUGGACCUUAGAACUAUUGCAUUACAAUUCAUUCUUCAAGGAAUAACGCAACAACAAAGCUAGUAAAUUCAGUAGCUAUAGCUUCCCCAUUUCACUCCCAAUACAGUUCCAAACAGUCACUAAUUUCACAUCCAAAAAAUACGUCGGAGUCGAUCCAAGGAAUGCGCGGAGUUACGAGAUUUUCCGGUGAGUUUUCCAUGUUCUAGUCGCGGUUUUGCUCAUUGUUGAGUUUCACAAUAAUAAAAGUCAGGUCCUUCAUUUGAGUUCUACCCUUCAUCUUUGUUUCUUUUAUACGACUUGGCAUUUCUUUUAACUGAUUAUCUUAGCGCAGUUUUCUAUACUUUUGUGAACGAUGAUUCUAUGUUAGAUUUAAGUUGCUCUUAAUGCUUGAACAUGUUUUUCAUGCCUGAAGGGCUAUCUUAUCUUCUUGUACUCGUUGAUUUGAAAAUUUUGAGCAUGCUAAAUGGUUUAAGUUAAUACAGUAGAAUUUUCAUUGAUUUUAAGUGGAUACAUAAGAUAUGAAUGAGUUAUUUAGUAGUGGCGUGAGUUUUUGAACUAAAAUAUAAGUUUGAGUCCUUGGAAUUUUGGGUGGGAUUGGGAAUUAAAAAAAGGUAUAAAAUAAAUAAGUUUUCAUGUCAGCUGGAGGAUAAUUUCAAUAAUACUUCAAUUUGGAACAUAAUUCUUUGAGUUAUUGAUUCAUGCCUACGAAGUGCUUAGAUCGUUAGGAAGAGCAAAUUCUUUAAAUAAGUUGAGGUGUGCCAUCCAAUCACAUAGUCUAUGGCCCUCACUUUAAUAUUAUAACUUAGAUACUAAACAAUCUUGACCGUUCGUAGUUUGCUUUAGGCGCGAUUUAAUAUACUAUCGUGGUGGUGUACACGUUCGCGUGACAUAAUUACGAUUUUAAAAAAAAACGUAAUCAGAGUAUGCGUUCGCGCAACUUCGACUAAACUUUCUUAAUAAUAAUAAAGUGUUACUAAUUGUGGACACGUUCGUGUGACAUGAUUUUUGACGCGCCAAACAAAUGGGUACACGUGCGCGUGACCUGUUUCAAGAUAAUUUCUAAAUUAAAAAGGUAAAUGCACAUAGGUUCUAAAAUAAGUAAUUAGACAAUUUUAAUAAGCCAAGUAUGAUCAAAGCGACCGUGCUAGAACCACGAAACUCGGGAAUGCCUAACACCUUCUUCCGGGUUAAUAGAAUUCCUUAUCCAGAUUUCUAUAUUUGCAGACCACAAAUAGAGUCAAACUUCCUCGAUUCAGGAUUUUAAACCGGUGACUUGGGACACCAUAAAUUAUCCCAAGUUGUGACUCUGAAUUUUAAAUAAAAUAAUUGUCGUGCCCCCUUUAUCUCGCGAAAUCGGGUUUAUGACAUUUGGAGGGGCAACUCGUUCCUUUUGGGAACUGGGUUUUGCAUUUGAAGAGUCACCACCUAAUGAUUAAGGUGCAUUAGGACACCAAUAGAAAUUUAAUUCUAAAUCAUUUGAAUAACCAGAGAUUGGGUAAGGGCUUGAAAUUAUCCCAAGGGGAAGGUGUUAGGCACACUCAGGAUCCACUAGUGUGGUUCCCGGCCAAACAGUUAUUGUGAAUUUAGCAAAUAAGCAAGUAUGGGCUCAAAUAUUAGGGGAUUUAAACACAUAAAGAAAGAACAUUUGAAAGAAGUGUUUGUUUAAAAAAAAGAGUUUGCAAAUAAAGGAAAUGGGCCCUAAGUUUAUAUUUAUGGAUCACCCCACAUAAUGUCCGGUAAUCACUCCUCAAUGAGGGGCUAUACGUGACAUUAUCGCGUGGUCAUCAUAUCCAUAUCUACACUUCCCACCCCGUUAAGGUAUAAAAGCGGGGAUUGGUUUCAAUUACUUAUUGCAUGCUAUUACCUGUCCCAUUCCUAUCAGUCCUGGAGGUACUUAGGACUAUUAAUCCUAAAAGGGAGGGGUAUUAGGGUGAUUUGAAGUUCCAAAGGUAAAAAUCUAGGGCGACAUAUAAAAACAGAUAAUAUGGCAUAUAAAGGGAAGCAUGUAAACAGACAAAGGCUCAAAUACACCUCUUUGAACAGAAGCACAUAACUAGCAUGACUUGCACAUACAUUUUAGGUCUAAUUAAAUACUAAAGCCGAGGGGAGCCCGAUUAUUGAAGCAGUUUAGUUUAUUACAUAACUCAGGUAAGAAGUUCGAAUCAGGCUUGCCUGCUGGUUGUAGCGAUUAGCAAAAGCGGAUCCAGUUUACAGUUAUUAUACUAAGGCUUGCCUAAGUGUAUAUUGAUGAUACCCAAUAAGCAUGAUAUCCACUGAUUUCAGAAGGUGAUGAGACAGUAAAAACUCGAAACGAAUUAUUUGAAAUCCUAUAGGCAUGCUUGCUAAACCUUGUUAAGUGAGGGAAUUAGACUAUUAUAAGGAGAUUUAGAAUGGACAAAAUUAAACAGACUGGUUAUAGAUUCUGCAGGUAAUAAUAUCUACUAUUAGUGAUUUUAAUCCCUAGGAGCAUGAUAUAUAACAUUGACUAUGAAUGAAGCGAAUCCGAAUUUCACUUAUGAACCCCUAUAGGCAUGAUUUCUAGAUGUUACUAAUUUUAACACAUUACUGGAUUAUAACCACUUGGCCCCUAACACAUGAUAUCUAAACGGUGACAAACAUGCAGAACUUUAGAAUGAAAUCCUAUAGGCAGGUUAUCUAGAUGUGAAGUUGAACAAGAAGUCCUAUAGACAUGGUUUCUAAAUGCAGUUUGCUGAAUUAAUAUACCCUAUAGGCAUGAUUUCUAAAUGCAUUUUGCAUAAUUAAAAUACCCUAUAGGCAUGAUUUCUAAAUGCAGUUUAUAGAAUUAAAAUACCCUAUAUGCAUGAUUUCUAAAUGCAGUUUGCAGAAUUAAAAGACCCUAUAGGCAUGAUUUCAAAAUGUAGUUUGAAUAUGCAGAAUUUAAAGUAGUCCUAUAAGCAUAUUUUCUACCCUUGCAUCAUUUUUACUAGCCAUCCCCAAAUGUUUAUUACAAAUUAUUACAAACCAGGAAUACUAAAUACAUCAGAAAAAUACAACAAAAUAACAGCCAGAGGAAGUCUGAUUCUUGACUUCCUCACUGAGUUAUGAGAUGAACCAACUCAAAAUACCAUUGAUCCAAAGCCUUUCUCAGCCUUGAGUGUGUCAGAGUUCCCUAAGGGCUUCAAUAGGACCCCGAGCAGUGCUCACACCCAAGUUUCAUAACCAAAAUAGGGAAAAGUGCAGUGUGGAAAUGUCAGCCCUCAUGUAUCCAAGUUCAGAGUGAUGUCACGGGUCCCAAGGCAAGGCUCACAUGAGGGGGGCAGAACUUAAGUCUAAGAGGAGAGUGCAAGUGCAGAAAUAGAGCUUUAAGAACUAAGGAAGUAAACAAGGGGGAAAGAGGUGCUGGGAAACAGCCAUUAACACUUCAAACAAGUUGAUAAUUUCAUACCAUGGGGUUUGGGAAUCCAUUGCAAAGAGCCUAUAUACUUAGGCAUGAGUCAAUUCUAGGCAUGGACAACAAUAGGGAGUGUUGUCAUUCUUGCAAAAUCAACUAGAACAUACAACAUAUAAGGGAAACAUAGAGGUUAUGAUCCUAGGAGGAUCAAGUUUGGGUCAUGCUCAGCAAUGUUCAAUGCUAUCAUGCCCCAAACAAACCAUAGGUAUUAAACAUACUGGGGUAGGGAUUUAGGAUUCAUAAUCCAUUAAUUCAGAACAGGAGAAAAAAUAAGGGUACUGAAUUAAAUAUAAGCAGUAGGCAGACAAGAAUGCAAGAAUCAUUAAGUAACCAUGUUGUGGUUGAUGCUGAAAACUUAAUUAGAACAUACCUGUCAAAGAAGCAAAGUGAAGUAAGGAAAAGUAGCAGGACUUCAAAAUAUAGCUUUGGCUUUCAGCCAGCUAAACAGGACACAGUACCAAUAACAAAGCAAGAGAGAGUGUUUUGAGUGUAAGUGUGAGUUCAAAACUAAAAGUGUUCGUGUGUUUGUGCUAAUGAGGGAGUAUGUAUAGAUAGUAGUUCGAAACCAUGUAAAAUAAGGCAAGAAUUAUAAUUGUAUAGUAAUUAUGGAACCAAGUACUAAUCAGAAUCAAAUCAAUGUAGGUACUCCUUUAAUUAAGGGGCAAUCAACCAACGGUAAUAGACAAAAAAUGUUUAAGGAAAGAAAUCAAGUAGAGCAUCAUUUACAGAGUAGAAAAUAAGGGGUAAGUACAUAGGGGUUCAAUUAAGGAAACAACCAAUGAAGAAUCAGUAAAAUACUCGGUUAACCAAAUAAGGUAAGAAAACAAAAUAAAGUUGCAGAAUAUGGAGAUAAUCGAAAAUCGGCACAUAAUAAAUCAGGGAAUCAAGGAUUCGAAAUUACUGAUUUAAGGAGAGUAACAUGGGUUCCCAUGAAUAAGAAAUAAACCAAGUUAAAAUAGGAGAAUCGAAAGUCUAAAGGGAAAUUUUCAAAUCAAGCCAAGAGACAAGGAGCUCAGAGUCAAUCAAAGAGAGAGUCACGAAUCAUGUUUUACCAUAUAAAUAGAGUGAGAUAUGAGUAACCAAACAUAGCAAGCAAAGAGGAAAGUCUUGACCAGUCAAGACGAACACAAGCACAUAGAGCUGAUGUAAGUUAGGCAUAAGACUACUCAGUAGAAACACAUUCGAAGCGAGAUAGUCACAGAAACUCAAACAAGAACAGACCAGUCACAAAAUCAAACGAAGAAACCUAAAAAAAUUAGGGCUUUCAACAUAGGCGAGUUAAAGAGAAGAUAGAAAUUCAGAAUCAAAAGAAUCACACAAAGAGAUUUUGAAAAGGAACUUCUACACUUAAACGAACAGUCUCAGACCCAAAACCAUAAGAUUUUUAACAAUAGAAGGGUUUUUUUUUUAAAAAAAAAAGAUAAAUAGACAGAUCAGACAAAAGCCUAAGCAAACAAAUAUUCAUUUAAUAAAUAGUUAAAAGAAAUUAGGAGUUUUAACAUGCAAACUCAGGCAGAAGGAUAAUACAGCAAAACAUGUCAAAAAUCAAAGACAGGUUUCGAAAUAACUUAAACAGAACCUUAAUCAGAAAGAUAAGGGGUUUUGAUGGUAGAGUUUUAAAAGAAACUUUGAGAAAAAUGUUUAGAAGUUUAGAGCAAACACAGAUCUGAAACAGAUCUAGAACAAAUCGGAAGAACCUUAGAGGCUAGGGCUUCAGAAGAACCCCAAGUGGUGAGAAAGGCUUUGAAAAUCAUCGAUCUUAGCGGAAAGUCAAGAGUCGGACUCGAAUAGCCAUGGCUGGCCAGAGAAAGGUCAAAGACGACCAGAGAAUGUCCAUAAAAUGAAAUCGACCAAGGUCUGGACCAAGAUUUCUCAAUAUCUAGCCUUGAAACCAUAAUAAUCGAGCACGCAGGAGCCAUGUGAGGUGGAUACAGGCCUCCGAUGACCUUGGAAGCCAUGGAUUUGGAAGGUUUUAGGGUUGUAGUUGAUGUCGGCGGCUAGGGUUGGAGAGGGUUUGAGAGAGGAUUGGGAGAUAAGGGGAUUCAGAGGCGGCUAGGUGUGUGAAAUGGUUAGGGUUAGGGGGUAGUUUGAGAUUAAAAAAGGAAAGGAUGGAUGUUGGCCGUUGAUCUGAAUGAUCAACGACCUGGAUUAAAACGGGCGAGUGGGCGGGUUAUGAAGAUGGGUUUGGUUCGGGUUAAAUUAGAAUUGGUUCGGGGGUUCAAAUAGUUUCAAUUGAGUUCAAUUGGGGUGCCAAAUCAGGAUAAAGUUGAAAUAAAAUGGGGCUAACAUUUAAAUAGCCACGUUUCCCUGUUUGAUUUAUAAAAAUAGUAAGAUAAAUUCUGAAAAUAAAUUAAAAGUACUAAAAUUGUUAACAGUACAUAAUUAUCAAAUUAAAAUACUGGACUUAAUUUUUAUAGAUAUAAAUGUAAUUAAUUCUAAAAGAGGCUAAUAUUGCAAUUAUAUGCAAUUUAGCUUUAAAAAUACUAAAUAAUUUUGCAAAAAUAUGAAAAAAUUAUAUUAGCUAUAUUUUAGCAUAAAUAUGAGAAUCCAAUAAAUGGAUCACCCAAAAAUGAUAUUUUGUAAAUAAUUAUUGGUUUUUCUGAAUAAAAUUGGGCAAUAAGUUGAUUUAAAAAAUCUUUAAAAAUUAAAGAAAAAUAAUAAAAUAUCUAGGCACACUUAUAUAUGUUUACAUAUACUAUUUUGAAAGUAUUUUGCAUAUUAAAAAUAUACAGAAAAAAAUCGGGUAUCAAUAGCUGCCCCUCUUUACCCGUGAAGGAUGGAAGAUAUGUCGGGUAAAGAUAUGAUGGCUAAUUUGACUGAACAAAAUAGUUCGAGGAGGCUUAGGUCGUGCCAUGGCUUCUGAACUGCCUACAUAUCCCUGAUUUUAUAGGAAUCAGGCCAUAUGUAGUUCAGGAUCCGUUGGCGGAGUAUACUAAUGGAGAUUUUCAAGAACGGAUGCAAUCUAUAGGGUCGGGUGUGUGGAAUGUUUAGGUUUGAUAUGGCUGCGGGAACUGGAACGGGAUCGCUCCUACCGAGAUGGUCGUUGCUUGCCAGUUUACCUGCAAACAAACAAUACAAACAUAUAUUGUGCAUAAAUUUAAACAUGAUGCAAUUUCCCGUCGGACCAUAAGGAUUGUCUUCGGACGGUUAGAAUGACGUUCUCAGACCAUGAUGUCCUGGGCCAUGAAGCGUAUAGUAAAGGAUUCACAGGCCAUGAAAUGAUGCUCUCGGGCUAUGAGGAUGAUGCCUCCGAACCAUGAUGCCUUUGAAUAAUAAUAUGCAAAAGAUUGAAAGGGGUCCUCAGGCCAUGACAUGGCGUUCUUGGGCUAUGAAAAUGGUGCCUCUGAACAAUGACGCCUUCGGAUGGUUUGGCGAUCUUUCAGCCCAUGCAAUGCAGUAGGUGGCGAUCUUUCAGCCAUGCAAAUGUAGAUAGGGUGGCGAUCUUUCAUCCAUGCAACUGUAGAUAGGGUGGCGAUCUUUCAGCCAUGCAAAUGUAGAGGUGGCGAUCUUUCAGCCAUUCAGAUGUGGAGGUGGCAAUCUUUCAGCCAUGCAAAUGUAGAGGUGGCGAUCUUUCAGCCAUGCAAAUGUAGAGGUGGCGAUCUUUUAGCCAUGCAAAUGUAGAGGUGGCAAUCUUUCNNNNNNNNNNNNNNNNNNNNNNNNNNNNNNNNNNNNNNNNNNNNNNNNNNNNNNNNNNNNNNNNNNNNNNNNNNNNNNNNNNNNNNNNNNNNNNNNNNNNNNNNNNNNNNNNNNNNNNNNNNNNNNNNNNNNNNNNNNNNNNNNNNNNNNNNNNNNNNNNNNNNNNNNNNNNNNNNNNNNNNNNNNNNNNNNNNNNNNNNNNNNNNNNNNNNNNNNNNNNNNNNNNNNNNNNNNNNNNNNNNNNNNNNNNNNNNNNNNNNNNNNNNNNNNNNNNNNNNNNNNNNNNNNNNNNNNNNNNNNNNNNNNNNNNNNNNNNNNNNNNNNNNNNNNNNNNNNNNNNNNNNNNNNNNNNNNNNNNNNNNNNNNNNNNNNNNNNNNNNNNNNNNNNNNNNNNNNNNNNNNNNNNNNNNNNNNNNNNNNNNNNNNNNNNNNNNNNNNNNNNNNNNNNNNNNNNNNNNNNNNNNNNNNNNNNNNNNNNNNNNNNNNNNNNNNNNNNNNNNNNNNNNNNNNNNNNNNNNNNNNNNNNNNNNNNNNNNNNNNNNNNNNNNNNNNNNNNNNNNNNNNNNNNNNNNNNNNNNNNNNNNNNNNNNNNNNNNNNNNNNNNNNNNNNNNNNNNNNNNNNNNNNNNNNNNNNNGAGGUGGUGAUCUUUCAGCCAUGCAAAUGUAGAGGCAGCGAUCUUUCAGCCAUGCAAAUGUAGAUAAGGCGGCGAUCUUUCAGCCAUGCAAAAUGAAGAUAAGGUGGCGAUCUUUCAGUCAUGCAAAUGCAAAGGUGGCGAUCUUUCAGCCAUGCAAAUGCCGAGGUGGCGAUCUUUCAGCCAUGCAAGUGUAGAUGGAGGUAGAGCUUAACCUCGAAAGGUAGAAUGGUAGCCUUAUGCAAUGCAGAAAAUGCAGAUGGUGACAACGUUUAGUCUCAGAAGGCAGAAUGGUAGCCUUAUGCAAAAAAUAAAAGGGCAAAUUGUAAUAGAGUUUUCUUAGCUGAUAGAGGAUUGCGGUAUCGUGACUGUUGGGGACAUCGUGACAUACUGAAUGCCACUGGUGCGUAUGGAUAGCAAAUGUUGGUAAGUGCAACAGUUCUGAGAGUUGUAUUCCUGAACAAUGUUUGUCUCGUGAGUGUAUGGUAUGUCAGAUGCUUUCGCAAUCUGAGUGCCUUCAUCCAAAGAAAAAUCGUGAGUUUUAUAAAGGGGGAAGGUUAGUUUGCAUCCCCGCUGGCUCUGCUGGACCUGUUCGGCUCUAAUCUGGUGAUGUUGUAUAUAUCAUUGGGGUAGCAUUGCUAAACAAGGAAAUUUUAGUAAUAAACAUGCAUGAUUUUCUUAAAAAUAUUAUAUAAGUAUAUAAUUAAGAAACAACUUUUAGAUGAACCGAUAACUGUAACGUGGUUCAGGACGUUUCAACCUCUCUUGCUACGGAAUUUUGAGGGUCCUCCUCAAAAUUCUGCCCCAGUUUCCAAUUGCGGGCGAAAUGAAAAUUUUAUUGAAUUGUGACCGAACCCAUAGGGCUGCCUACGUAUCCCCUCUUAAACGGGAAUCAGGUCAGGCGUAGUUCAAUUUACAUCAUAUAGGAAAGCAUAAAGAUUACACAUAGUAAUGCUUGACUGCAUCUGAAUUGAUCGGCUUUGGCCAGACUUCUCCGUCCAUUUCUGCAAGUAUGAGGGCUCCUCCUGUCAAAACCUGAUGAACCAUGUAUGGACCCUGCCAGUUGGGAGAGAACUUCCCUUUGGCUUCAUCUUGAUGCGGGAAAAUUUUCUUUAACGUAAGCUGCCCUGGUGUGAACUGUCUAGGCUUGACUCUUUUGUUGAAAGCUCUAGACAUUCUGUUCUGAUAGAGUUGACCAUGGCAAACCGCGUUCAUUCUCUUUUCGUCUAUAAGGGCUAAUUGCUCAUAACAACUUUUCACCCACUCUGCGUCGUCAAGCUCAGCUUCGUGUAUGAUCCUUAGGGAAGGAAUUUCUACCUUGGCAGGAAUGACUGCCUCUGUACCAUAAACCAGUAUAUAGGGGUUGCCCCGGAUGAUGUGCAGACUGUGGUGCGAUACCCCAAUAAAGUGAAUGAUAGUUUCUCGUGCCACUGCUUAUGCUUCUCUAUCAUUUUCCUUAGUAUCUUGUUGAUAUUCUUAUUGGUGGCCUCUAUGGCUCCAUUCAUCUAAGGUCUAUAGGCUGUAGAAUUUUUGUGUCGAAUCUUGAAGGUUUCACACAUAGCUUUCAUCAAGUCACUGUUGAGGUUGGAACCAUUAUAAGUAAUGAUUUAUUCUGGAAUACCGAAUCGACAAACAAUGCGGUUGCGGACAAAGUUUGCCACGACUUUCUUAGUCAUUGCUUUGUAAGAUGUCGCUUCGACCCAUUUGGUGAAAUAGUCGAUGGAUACCAAGAUAAAUAUAUGUCCAUUGGAAGCGACAGGCUCGAUUGGUCCAAUAACAUCCAUCCCCCAAGCGGCAAACGACCAUGGUGAGCUUGUUGCAGUAAGCUCAUUUGGAGGUUCCUUUAUCAUGUCUGUAUGUAUCUGGCAGUGAUGGCAUUUCUGGACAUACUGGAUGCAGUCCGUCUCUAUAGUCAUCCAAAAGUAACNNNNNNNNNNNNNUUUCCGUAUGCUUCUUCCUCAACAUGGGCGCAAUAAUCUGGCUGAUCAUGGAUUUUUACCAGAAUGGGAUCAAUGAAGUUUUUGUCUGGAUGUUGUAUCAUGGAUGAUAGGGUAGCCAAUGCAUCGGCGUACUCAUUCUGGACUAUGGGAACAUGUUGGAAUUCCGUCUUUGUGAAUUUCUUUCUCAAUUCUUGUAUAUGAUGUAGAUACGGGAGUAUCUUGGAGUUCUUCGUUGCCCAUUCUUCUCAGACCUGAUGUAUAAGUAGGUUCAAAUCUCCGAUCACUAGCAACUCUUGAAUGUUCAUGUCAAUGGCCAUCUUGAGACCUAAUAUGCAGGCUUCGUACUCGGCCAUGUUGUUGGUGCAUGGGAACCUGAGUUUGGCAUACACCGGAUAAUGCUGACCAGAUUCCGAUACAAGGACUGCUCCUAUGCCAACUCCUUUGAAAUUUACUGCUCCAUCGGAAAACAUUCUCCAACCAUCAUAGAAUUCUGCAAUGUCUUCUCCUAUGAAUGAUACCUCUUCAUCAGGAAAAUACAUUUUCAGGGGUUCGUAUUCUCCGUCCACGGGGUUUUCAACAAGGUGAGCUUCUAGUGCCUGUCCCUUGAUUGCUUUCUGAGUCACGUAGACAAUGUCAAACUCACUCAAUAGGAUUUGCCACUUGGCUAGCUUACCAGUGGGCAUGGGCUUCUGGAAGAUGUACUUCAAAGGAUUCAUCCUUGAUAUGAAAUAUGUAGUAUAGGCACAGAAAUAGUGCCUCAGUUUCUGAGCUACCCAAGUCAAAGCACAACAGGUGCGUUCUAAUAGAGAAUACCGGGCCUCGUACGAGGUGAACUGCAAUGGACAAAAUUAAACAGACUGGUUACAGAUUCUGCAGGUGAUAGCAUCUACUAUUACUGAUUUUGAUCCCUAGGAGCAUGAUAUCUAACAUUGACUGUGAAUGAAGCGAAUCAGAAUUUCACUGAUGAACCCCUAUAGGCAUGAUUUCUAGAUGUUACUGAUUUUAACACAUUACUGGAUUAUAACCACUUGGGCCCUAACACAUGAUAUCUAAAUGGUGAAAAAAACAUGCAGAACUUUAGAAUGAAAUCCUAUAGGCAGGUUAUCUAGAUGUGAAGUUGAACAAGAAGUCCUAUAGACAUGGUUUCUAAAUGCAGCUUACAGAAUUAAAAUACCAUAUAGGCAUGAUUUCUAAAUGCAGUUUGCAGAAUUAAAAUACCCUAUAGGCUUGAUUUCCAAAUGCAGUUUGCAGAAUUAAUAUACCCUCUAGGCAUGAUUUCUAAAUGCAGCUUGCAGAAUUAAAAUACCCUAUAGGCAUGAUUUCUAAAUGUAGUUUGAAUAUGUAGAAUUUAAAGUAGUCUUACAAGCAUAUUUUCUACCCUUGCAUGCAUAGUUACCCAACCUUUUUUAUUACCUACCCCAAAAUGUUUAUUACAACUUAUUACAAACCAAGAAUACUAAAUACAUCAAAAAAUACAAAGAAAAGAAUUACAACCAGAGGAAGCCUGAUUCUUGAUUUCCUCACUGAUUUAUGAGAUGAACCAACUCAAAAUACCAUUAAUCCAAAGCCUUUCUCAACCUUGAGUGUGUCAGAGUUCCCUAAGGGCUUUAAUAGGACCCCCGGCAGUGCUCACACCCAAGUUUUAUAACCAGAAUCGGGACAAGUGCAGUGUGGAAAUACCAGCCCUCAUGUGUCCAAGUUCAGAGGGAGCUCAUGGGUCCGAAGGCAAGGCUCACAUGAGGGGGGAAGAACUUAAGUCUAAGAGGAGAGUGCAAGUGCAGAAACAGAGCUUUAAGAACUAAGGAAGUAAAGAAGGGGGAAAGAGGUGUUGGGAAACAACCAUUAACACUUCAAACAAGUUGAUAAUUUCACACCAAGGGGUUUGGGAAUCCAUUGCAAGGAGCCUAUAUACUUAGGCAUGAGUCGAUUCUAGGCAUGCACAACAAUAGAGAGUGAUGUCAUGCUUGCAAAAUCAGCCAGAACAUACAACAUAUAAGGGAAACAUAGAGGUUAUGAUCCUAGGAGGAUCAAGUUUGGGUCAUGCUCAGCAAUGUUCAAUGUUGUCAUGCCCCAAACAAAUCAUAAGUAUUAAACAUACUGGGGUAGGGAUUUAGGAUUCAUAAUACAUUAAUUUAGAAUAGGAGAAUAAAUAUGGGUACUAAAUUAAAUAUAAGCAGUAGGCAGACAAGAAUGAAAGAAUCAUUGAGUAACCAUGUUGUGGUUGAUGCUGAAAACUUAAUUAGAACAUACUAGUCAAAGAAGAAAAGUGCAAUAAAGAAAAGUAGCACGACUUCAAUAUAUAGCUUUGGCAUUCAGCCAGCUAAACAGGCCACAGUACCAGUAACAAAGCAAGAGAGAGUGUUUUGAGUGUAAGUGUGAGUUCAGAACUAAAAGUGUUCGUAUGUUUGUGCUAAUGAGGGAGUAUGUAUAUAUAGUAGUUCGAAACCAUGUAAAAUAAGGCAAGAAUUAUAAUUGUAUAGUAAUUAUGGAACCAAGUAAUAAUCAGAAACAAAUCAAUGCAAGUACUCUUUUAAUUAAAGGGCAAUCAACCAACGGUAAUAGGCAAUAAAUGUUUAAGGAAAGAAAUCAAGUAGAGCAUCAUGUACAGAGUAGACAAUGAGGGGUAAGUACAUAGGGGUUCAAUUAAGGAAACAACCAAUGAAGAAUCAGUAAAAUACUCGGUUAACCAAAUAACUUAAGAAAACAAAAUAAAGUUGUAGAAUAUGGAGAUAAUCGAAAAUCAGCACAUAGUAAAUCAGGGAAUCAAGGAUUCGAAAUUACUAAUUUAAGGAGAGUAACAUGGGUUCCCAUGAAUAAGCAAUAAACCAAGUUAAAAUAGGAGAAUCGAAAGUCUAAAGGGAAAUUUUCAAAUCAAGCCAAGAGACAGGGAGCUCAGAGUCAAUCAACGAGAGAGUCACGAAUCAUGUUUUACCAUAUAAAUAGAGUGAGAUAUGAGUAACCAAACAUAGCAAGCAAAGAGGCAAGUCUUGACCAGUCAAGACGAACACAAGCACAUAGAGCUGAUGUAAGUUAGGCAUAAGACCACUCAGUAGAAACACAUUCGAAGCGAGAUAGUCACAGAAACUCAAACAAGAACAUGCCAGUCACAAAAUCAAACGAAGAAACCUAGAAAAAUUAGGGCUUUCAACAUAGGCAAGUUAAAGAGAAUAUAGAAAUCUAGAAUCAGAAGAAUCACACAAAGAGAUUUCGAAAAGGAACUUCUGCACUUAAACGAACAGUCUCAGACCCAAAACCGUAAGAUUUUUAACAAUAGAAGGGUUUCUUUAAAAAAAACAAGAUAAAUUGACAAAUCGGACAAAAACUCAAGCAAACAAAUAUUCAUUUAAUAAAUAGUUAAAAUAAAUUAGGGUUUUUAACAUGCAAACUUAGGCAGAAGGAUAAUACAGCAAAAUAUAUCAAAAAUCAGAGACAGGUUUCGAAAUAACUUAAACAAAACUUUAAUCAGAAAGAUAAGGGGUUUUGAUGGUAGAGUUUUAAAAGAAACAUUGAGAAAAAUGUUUAGAAGUUUAGAGAAAACACAGAUCUGAAUAGAUCUAGAAGAAAUCGGAAGAACCUUAGAGGCUAGGGUUUCAGAAGAACCCCAAGUGGUAAGAAAGGCUUUGAAAAUCAUCGAUCUUAGCGGAAAGUCAAGAGUCGGACUCGAAUAGCCAUGGCUGGCCAGAGAAAGGUCAAAGACGACCGGAGAAUGUCCAUAAAAUGAAAUCGACCAAGGUCUGGACCAAGAUUUCUCAAUAUCUAGCCUUGAAACCAUAAUAAUCGAGCACGCAGGAGCCAUGUGAGGUGGAUACAGGCCUCCGAUGACCUUGGAAGCCAUGGAUUUGGAAGGUUUUAGGGUUGUAGUUGAUGUCGGCGGCUAGGGUUGGAGAGGGUUUGAGAGAGGAUUGGGAGAUAAGGGGAUUCAGAGGCGGCUAGGUGUGUGAAAUGGUUAGGGUUAGGGGGUAGUUUGAGAUUAAAAAAGGAAAGGAUGGAUUAAAACGGGCGAGUGGGCGGGUUAUAAAGAUGGGUUUGGGUCGGAUUAAAUUGGAAUUGGGUUGGGGGUUCAAAUAGUUUCAAUUGAGUUUAAUUGGGGUGCCAAAUCAGGCUAAAGUUGAAAUAAAAUGGGGCUAACAUUUAAAUAGCAACUUUUCCCUGUUUGAUUUAUAAAAAUAGUAAAAUAUUCUCUGAAAAUAAAUUAAAAGUACUAAAAUGAUUAACAGUACAUAAUUAUCAAAUUAAAAUACUGGACUUAAUUUUUAUAGAUAUAAACGUAAUUAAUUCUAAAAGAGGCUAAUAUUGCAAUUAUAUGCAAUUUUGCUUUAAAAAUACUAAAUAGAUUUGCAAAAUAUGCAAAAGUUAUAUUAGCUAUAUUUUAGCAUAAAUAUGAGAAUCCAAUAAAUGGAUCACCCAAAAAUGAUAUUUUGGAAAUAAUUAUUGGUUUUUCUGGAUAAAAUAGGACAAUAAGUUGAUAUAAAAAAACCUUUAAAAAUUAAGGAAAAAUAAUAAAACAUCUGGCCAUACUUAUAUAUGUUUACAUAUGCUAUUUUGAAAAUAUUUUGCAUAUUAAAAAAAUACAGGGAAAAAUUGGGUAUCAACAAUAAUCCUGUUUCGUUUGUCACUUAAAUUGGAAAAAACUCCCUUAUACCCUUCCCGAGGGUGGUAAAAGGAGAUGUGACAAGUAGAUAUGUUAAUUAAAUGUUCCCUUUCUUCUUUUUGGAUACAUCUCCCUAUACACUGACUUUCUUCGCUGAUACAACUGUCACAGUUUACCCCAAUGCGGUUAAGAGCCUCUCGGGCUGGGUCAACUAGCUGGAUUCGAUUUGCCCAUACGCCAAGCGUGCGUGGCGUGAUCUGUCCCAGGCUCGAUGGGAAGCCAAGGACCACAGUGAGCCUUCACUCCUGUUGUAGUUGUAUUUCAUAAAAGAACUAUUAACGAUAGUGCCCUUAUUCCCAGCGCGUAUAUUUUGCAUCUGUGUAGGUCUGGGGGAGGUCCCCUUGAUAAGAGAAGCACUACUUGGUGAAGCAGGUACCCCGAAACCCGAAAAAGAGAGGAAAAGGUGAAGGGGGUCACCGACUCCUUCUCCGAAACCCAAGAAAGCCAAAGUGGGAGAACCCAUACCAUAGAGUCGAUGGCUCCUACAUUAGGACUUGAUUCCGUUGUUGUCCUACCUCGGAUUGAAGAGUCCUUUGAGGGUGCGUCGGGUGACAUCCCCGAUUUACUUGUUGGAAAAAGCUCUCCUCGAGUUGAGGUGCAAUCAUUAGGUGGUCCGAGGGAGCUUGGUUCCGAAGCUCUCCUGAAAUAAGAGACGGCCCUGGUAGAUUCGGUCGAGAUCAUUGAAGUCAGCGAUUCCCCUUCGGGAUCGGCUUUUCCCCCUAGGGAGAUGCAGGAUACCCAAAAUAAAGAAUCUUCUGAUACGAGGGUGCCUGUUAGAGAAAAGAAUGUGCUUGAAGGGCUUUCUAUUGCGCCCGAGGAAAAGCCUGAUCUUGACGUCUCGCUUAUUUUCAAUGAGAUCAACAGGCUCUAUGAGCAGGUUAUCUUUUUGUAAAAGUCUGCUUGGUGCCCUGAUUUUUGUCUUGCUAACUUCGUUUCCUUCAUGGUUUCAGGCCAAGGUGCUUUACAAUCAGACCUUCUCCAAGUUUCAAACCGAGCUGACUCGUUACGAGGGUGAACAUAAAGGACUCACCUUGGAAGCUGGUGAGCUCAGAGCUCUUUCUACUAAGAGGGAGGAGGAACUCCGUGACCUUCGGGAUUGUUUGGAGGCGGCGUCCCGAGACAUGACUCAUCUCACUAAGCAUGUCAUAUAGUUCUUGCUUGUUUUUUGUAUACAUGCUUACCCGACUUUAGUGCUUUAACAACUUCAUGUCGAUCUUUUGUAGCUUAAGA
rnacentral:lncRNA from 1 species